rnacentral:ncRNA from 1 species
GUCUAAGUACGAGCUCUUGUACAGUGAAACUGCGAAUGGCUCAUUAAAUUAGUUAUGGUACAUUUGAUCGUACAGUUUACUUGGAUAACUGUGAUAAUUCCAGAGCAAAUACUCUUCGUUCACGUGAUCAUCCCUACAGUCGAGUGUCAUACCAUUACCAAAGGACAUUUAAAAAGCAUUUCUUUGCCAAACGAAACAUAAUAGUCAUUUUUAUACUCCGUGGUAGAAAAACGCAAGUGUGUUAUCUUAUGAUGGGCAAUCGUCAGAUUAACUAGUAACCACCGUCGGAUUACGUUAUUUCAGUGAG